UACGAAGGGUGCAAACGUUGCUCGGAAUUAUUGGGCGUAAAGGGCGCGUAGGCGGCUUUGCAAGUGACGGGUGAAAUCCCUCGGCUUAACCGAGGAACUGCCUGUCAAACUGCAUGGCUUGAGACCGGGAGAGGUGAGUGGAAUUCCCAGUGUAGCGGUGAAAUGCGUAGAUAUUGGGAGGAACACCAGUGGCGAAGGCGGCUCACUGGACCGGUACUGACGCUGAUGCGCGAAAGCGUGGGGAGCAAACAGG
rnacentral:rRNA from 1 species